rnacentral:rRNA from 1 species
AGUGAACGCUGGCGGUAGGCCUAACACAUGCAAGUCGAACGGCAGCACAGUAAGAGCUUGCUCUUACGGGUGGCGAGUGGCGGACGGGUGAGGAAUACAUCGGAAUCUACUUUUUCGUGGGGGAUAACGUAGGGAAACUUACGCUAAUACCGCAUACGACCUACGGGUGAAAGCAGGGGAUCUUCGGACCUUGCGCGAUUGAAUGAGCCGAUGUCGGAUUAGCUAGUUGGCGGGGUAAAGGCCCACCAAGGCGACGAUCCGUAGCUGGUCUGAGAGGAUGAUCAGCCACACUGGCACGGAGACACGGUCCAGACUCCUACGGGAGGCAGCAGUGGGGAAUAUUGGACAAAGGGCGCAAGCCUGAUCCAGCCAUACCGCGUGGGUGAAGAAGGCCUUCGGGUUGUAAAGCCCUUUUGUUGGGAAAGAAAAGCAGCAGGUUAAUCCCCCGCUGUUCUGACGGUACCCAAAGAAUAAGCACCGGCUAACUUCGUG